CCCUUAGAUGUUCUGGGCGGCCCGCGCACUACAAUGGCGUGUGCAGCGAGUGCCGAAGUAGAGUUUUCCGAGGUAUUCUUGCAAUGCUCGUUUUGAUGGGGAUAGACCCUUGCAACUGUUGGUUUUGAACGAGGAAUUCCUUGUAAGCAUGGUUUAUCAUCCGACGCUGAAUGCGUCCCUGCCCUUUGUACACACCGCCCGUCGCUCCUACCGAUGAGUCGUCCGGUGAAGUUCGUAGACCUCGUGAUCGCGGAUCACUGGUGGAAGCAAAAUGAACCUCGCGGUUUAGAGGAAGGAGAAGUCGUAACA
rnacentral:rRNA from 1 species